CAAACUUGUUUUAAGGAGGUACGCCCUAUUUUAUUUCACAACAGUUUCAUAGGAACUGACUUGUAGUUACGCCACUAUUGUCAUCGCCAGCUAACUUGGCGGAGCGCACAAACCCAAAAUUGCUUACUGGCUUAGGUGGGGUCUUUAGUCUCCUCCCAGUUAUCAGGGGCGUAACACUUAAGUGAUUUGCGGCUAUUAUUUUUCAGACUUCUUAUUAUUUCGGAUAGUUAAGUGUGUUUGUGACAAUUUCUAACGAUGGCGUUGAAAAAUAGUAGAAAGAAUAAUUAUGUUAUUAGUGGACAAUCUCGGGAGAGAUUGGAGAUUUCCACUGGUGGAAAUAUUUUGUUUGUUUAUGUCUACCUUGUAUUAAAUUAAAAUAUAUCAAAAAUAGGUGAAUAUUUGACAUACUUAAUAAUGUUGACAGCUUACCACACUUACAAAAAAUUAAAUUAUUCGUUAUUUUACGGGAAAAAA
rnacentral:lncRNA from 1 species